rnacentral:rRNA from 1 species
AUGAACAACCACCUCCGCGCCGCAUUAAGCGCAGCCCGGCUCCGGUGGGCUCCUGGUGCCCUCGACAAAUCCUCCAGAGUGCCGCCGUGCUGUGCUGCCAGUUGGCGGCAUGUACAAGGAUCAUUCCCGGCAUCGGGUCGGGUUGCUCCGAGUGACCAUCGGAUUCAACGGCGGCUCUAUUCAGCUGCUCCCCUCCACAGCGAGGGGGAAACCUUGGUGGAUGAGGAGGAGGACGAGGUGGAUCGGAAGAUCAGGCAAAUGGAGAGGAGGCGGGAGGUCCGCGCCGCGCAGAAGACGUUCAUGGAGUACCUCCAUGUCACGCGCGGCAUGUGCUUCAGCGACGCCGAGCAUAUAAGCAAGCGCUCGCCUGUUUACCUGAGCAAGCUGCUGGAGGAGGUGAAGGAUGCCCUGAAGGAGCCCCCGGAGGGGGGAACCGAGCUGGUCUUCAGGUCCAAGGUGAAGAAGAGGGACAUGAAGGAUGAAAGGGUCAGCAAGGCCCUGGUGCGGUUAUUUCAAUUCAAUCCUGUCAACGAGUUUGAGCCCUUCUUGGAGAGCAUUGGCCUCAGACCGAGCGAGUGCAGUGCGUUCUUGCCUCGGGAUCUCAUGUUUCUCACGGACGAUGAGAUGUUGCUCGGCAACUUCCGCCUGCUUUGCAAUUACGGCAUUGCGCGCAGGAAGAUAGGGAGGAUAUACCGGGAUGCUAUGGAGGUCUUUAGUUUUGGCCAUGGUGUGCUUGCAUCUAAGCUGAAGGCCCUUGAGGAACUUGGGUUCAGUAGGACCAGUGUGAUCAAGCUCGUAAUUGCUACUCCUGUUGUAUUGGUUCGUGACCCGAAUGUGGAAUUGAAGAUCCUGGAGUGGCUAGACGACAUUGGGAUCCAGCGGGACUGGAUUAGUCAGUUCUUAUCUGCUAGGAAGUCUUAUGAUUGGAGAAAGAUGGUUCGAGUUCCCCAGUUCUUCGUUAACUUGGGAUUUACUAAGGAAGCUGUUGGUAAAUUGGUCAGGCAAAAUCCAGAUUUCUUGCUGGAUGGUUCAGGAAAGAUGCUAUUUACAGUGGUUCUCAUGAUGCUAAAAGCGGGAUGUGGAAAAAAAGAGCUGUAUGAUCUUUUUAUGGACUUCCCAAAUGUGUCGGUCGAGGAUUUCACAAGUAACCUACGGAGGGGAAUGCUGUUCUUAGCUGAGAUUGGCAUAAGCCAUGAGGAUGUUAACAAGUUUGUUCUUUCUCAUGGAUUAAUCCUUGGUUCUGCCCCAUUGAAGAUGCCAAACAGCAUUGUUACAAAUCUCAAUGUGGGAAAGAGGCGCCUGCGCAAGAUUAUACUGGAGGACCCGAAACUGUUGAUGAGUUACACAUUAGGGUCAAAAGUCAGCCAGCUACCAAAAAUUGACCCCUUUGAAGCAUCAUUCAAUGAGAGAAAAAAAUUCUUGAAAAGCAUAGGAUUUGUUGAAGGCUCUGAAGAUAUGAAGAAGGCACUCAAAACCUUCCGUGGCAAAGGUGACGAACUACAAGAUCGGUACGAGUUCUUAGUGAACAAUACUGGGUUGGACCCAAAAGAUGUAGUAAACAUGAUCAAGCUGGCUCCACAGGUUCUGAACCAGAAGAUUGAUGUGCUCGAGUCAAAGAUAUCCUUCCUUAUAAAUCAUUCAGGGUAUACUCUGAGUGACAUGGUUGCUUUCCCUGCUUGCCUGUCAUUUACCGUGGAAAGAACCAAAGUCAGGAUUUUCAUGUACAAUUGGCUGCUAGAAAGGGGGUUGGUUACAUCCCGGCUGGCUUUAAGCACAAUCCUAGCUUGCUCAGACAAAUAUUUCAUGAGUUAUUUUGUGAAAAAGCAUCCCAUGGGACCUGAAGUUUGGGAAAACUACAAGAGGGAAGUAGCUAAGGCCAAAAACAUGCCUUGCAGUUGA